rnacentral:tRNA from 2 species
AUUUGUAUAAUAUAUUUAGUAUAUUUGACUUCCAAUCAAAAAGUUUAUUUUUAAUACAAAUA